rnacentral:misc_RNA from 1 species
GUCAUGUUUCAUUAUUGUGAAUCACAGAACUUUUUACAUUAAAAAAAAUAAUAAAAAAAGCAGGGUAGGUCAGUGGGGCAAAUAACUAAAUAUGGUGCAUCAUUUUCAGAUGUUUGCAUGAGUUGCAUGUUUUUCAUUCCAAAAAAAAGGCAGAAGAAAAACAGCAUAGCAUAGAAGGUUUUUCCACUAAAGCUUAUUUAAUACUCAAACCUGUAAUGCUUGUAUCAAGUUUCAACCUUUAUGUUUUCACUAUUCAAUGCUCAUGUUCCAAAACAACAGUUCUAAGCUUCUUAGCUGAUUUACAUAGAAUCAAUUUCAGUUGUGAAGCAGAGAAAGUGCAUUGCAUUCAUCAA